CCUACGGGAGGCAGCAGUGAGGAAUUUUGCGCAAUGGGCGAAAGCCUGACGCAGCGACGCCGCGUGGAGGAUGAAGGCCUUCGGGUUGUAAACUCCUGUUAGAGGGGAAGAAGCCCCGCAAGGGGUUGACGGUACCCUCAGAGGAAGCUCCGGCUAACUCCGUGCCAGCAGCCGCGGUAAAACGGAGGGAGCAAUAGUUAUUCGGAUUCACUGGGCUUAAAGAGCACGUAGGUGGCUAAGUAGGUCAUAUGUAAAAAACUUUUGCUCAACAAAAGGAAUGCAUAUGAAACAGCUUAGCUUGAGUUCAGGGGAGGUAGGUGGAAUUCCCGGUGGAGCGGUGAAAUGCGUAGAUAUCGGGAAGAACACCUGCGGCGAAGGCGACCUACAAAACUGAUACUGACACUGAGGUGCGAAAGCAAGGGGAGCAAACAGGAUUAGAUACCCCUGUAGU
rnacentral:rRNA from 1 species